AGACAAGAAAGAGUGAGAAGAGCCUGUAGUGUAAUGCCCGCAGCUAAAAGCAACUGCAUGAGAACGUAUACUCGAAUAUCACGAUAUGGUCAUUUUCUAUAUCGCGAUAUAUCGAGUAUAUCGAUAUAUCGCCCAGCCCUAGUUUAUUGGAUGUCCUCAUAUGGAUCUAUUCCACCAAUUUGACUUAUGUUUUAAGUGGAAAGCGGGUCUAGUUUUUUACGGUGAAUUUUAAUUCAGUUUGUUGCUCUCUCCCACAAUACCGCUGGUUGCGUACAGCCAUGUAAUCAAAAACUUUGUCCAAAAACAAUGGAUACCCAGUCCCCACAAUGCAUUGCCCUUUCAGGCCCUAUAUUUAGUAGCAUGAUGAGUUGGAACAUUCAUAUUGUUUACAGUUGAACAUAUCUGAAAGGGAGUAGGAAGAAGAAAAGGUUGAUUACUCCUACCCCUUCCUCACAAUUACUAAUAUGUUUGGUUACUUCCUGUGCUCAAAAGUCACAGCACAUUCAAAGACAAAUCUUUGUGUUUUUGUUCAUUAUCAGUAUUAACAUUUAUUAAUUUUCUCAUAACGUAAUUAAUUUUGCUGUAUUUAUCAAUUUUUGAUGUUUUUUUCAAGGUCAAAAUAACUAAACAGCCCCGUUCAACUCGACGUCCCUGCUUGAAUUCUUUCCAUGUGCCGGCGAGAAAAAGUAUCUCCAGGCUCUAUUCAGCACGAUGGCUAGCCGUUAGUCCAAGGAGACAGGCAGAGCAGCGUGUCGUACAGGCGUCCACACCUGUUGCCAUUUAAUAACAGUGGCUUGUAAAAGUUGAUUGAUUUGAUAUGCAACACAGUCUGCUCUUUAAAUGUUAAUACCACCGACAGUCACCUUCAUUUAAUUGUGACAGACAAAAUUGUGAUCGUGAUUAAAAUUUGAUUAAAUGUGCAACCCUAGUCUGAUUACUCUCUAAAUAUAACGACAGAGUCGCUAAGUUGGCAACACUGAUCCCUUCUAGGAAUGGGUAUUAUUUUACAUUUUAACUGAUGCUAGUACCAACUUGGUACUGGAAAAAACUGUGCCGGUGCAUAAACAGAGCCUGAACUGGUACUUAAAAAAAUGGAAAACAUUUUUGUAAAAAAAAACCAACACAGAAAUACCUUUUUUCGCUUAUGAAAUUUUGUGACAUUCACAUUGAACAGACUGAAAUACUUACAUUAUAUAAAUUAAAUGAAAAGUAAAAAAAGUAACACAUUGUCAUAAUUAUCGCAAAAAGUGGUAUCUGUAAUAUUGACGCUAAUAAUUCAGACAGUUCGUGAACCCAACCCUGCUUGCCUAAUUGUCAUUAGUGCGUAAUGAGGAAGUGCUGUUUUGUUGUUGUUAUGAAGGCUGCUGUUGGCGUGUUCAGGUUGGCAAAAACUAAAAAAAACAGUGUUAGAGUCAGUGCUUCUUUCUAAAAUCUAUAUUGCGAUAUAUACAUGUAGCCUCCUGCAAAAAGGAUAUACAUCACAAUGUGUUAUUUGCCAUAUAAAUGACAAUAGAACUAUUUUAAAAUGGGUUACACAAGGUCCUCAUUUAGCUGAUGACAUAUGCAGUAACAUAUUACAUACAUUCCGAUUGUAUUAUUUUUGUCAAGACUUGGUCCUUGGGGUUGGUUUUUCCGGAAGGCAACGGAAAGUUGGCUCGGGCGAGACAGGAAUGUGAGUACUUAAUAUUAUCAAAAAAGAACAAACGAAAGGCGCGCACAAUGACGGAGGUAAAAAACUUGGCUAAUGAAAACAAAACUUGCACAAAGGCAGAAACUGUGAACAAUGAAACAAAAACUUACUUGGCAUGGGACUGUGAACAUGGCAUUAUGCAGAGUGACGAUAAAGAGUGAUGUUGCCAGACUGACCAACAGAAAAUGAAAAGCUUAAAUACACAGACAUGAUUAACAACAGGUGCGUGACUCAAAACGUGAAACAAGUGCGUGACAUGACAGGUGAAAACUAAUGGGUUGCUAUGGAAACAAAACAAGGGAGUGAACAACCAGGAACUAAGAAAGUGCCUAAAAAAACAAACAGCACAUGGCCAAACAAAAACAUGAUCAACACAGACAUGAACAUUUUCUCAAAACUAUGAUUCAUCUACAGUACUUGUUAAGUUUCUGUUAAUAUCUGGUUCUAUCUACACUUCUGUUAAAAUGUAAUAAUCACUUAUUCUAGUGUUGUUUCAAUAUUUACAUUAGUUUUGGGCAAUACUACAAAUGUGAGUAUCAUUCCAAUACCAAGAGCAGUAUUGGUCAUAACAAUGCUUCAGCUUUUCAAGAUCAUUGAAUUAUUAUAUUAUGUAUAAAUGUGUAUAUAAUGACCUAUUGUUUGCUCGGAUUUGAAUAAAUUGGGUUUUGCCUUUGUGUCCAUGGACUUAUUUCCUUUGUUUGUAAACAAAAACAAACAUGACAAAAUAUUUUGGAAUAGUACAAAAUAUAAAGUUAAUCAUUGUGGUAUCGUUAUUUGUAUCAAUUCGCCCACUUUGUUUACAUUGAAGAACUCUAGUUUGUAUAUCCCCCAAGGGUGAUAGUUGUAGCAUGUUAAGUUUUUACUCGUCCUCCUAGGAUGAUGCUUGUAAAAAACAUAGUUUAUAUGCCGCUAUGAAGGCAAGGAUUGCUGACUUAGAAGUGGCUUUGCACUGUGGAGGUACAUUAGCCACCAGCGAGGUUUAGGACGCGGCCGUUCGCUUGUCGCUGUCAAAUUUACGGACACAGCUAGAAUGGGUUGUCAUCAUGUAUUAUCACCAUAUAUCAGAAUCAGAAAUACUUAAUUAAUAUAGUAUGAAAGCCCUGUCGGCCAAAUUCAUAUCACUUUUAUCAGUAUUUCUUAACCAUAGGGCCCAUUGUUGGGUCACCAGAACCCUAGAGAGGGCCUCCAAAAAUAUCUGUUUCUCAGCUGUGGUCCGUAUGGGCCGCUGCGGUAUUCAGUUGUAAUGCACUUCCUCACCACUUGUGGCAGUAAUGACAAUAUCAAACAAACAGAAGAAGUCUGGAGCUAAAGUCAUAAAGAAGUUUGUUAAACGGAAAAAUUAUGACUAAAGAGGUGAAGCUGUAAUUUCAUUUGCACUAUCAUUUACUUUAAAAAAAAUCAUCAUUAACUUAGUUUAUUUAUUUCAGCAAUACGUAAAUAUAUGUAAAUGUAUUUUUUCAUCAGUUAUUUACAUAUGAGUCUCUUUUUAUGCAGUAUAUUUGGUUAGUGUUUAUUUUUCUAAUCAGCCUGACAUACGUAAAUAUAUGUAAAAGUAUUUUUUUUGUCAGUUAUUUACGUAUGAGUCUCUUUUUAUGCAGUAUAUUUGGUUAGUGCUUAUCUUUCUAAUCAGCCUGACAUAAGCCUAAGAUUUAUGUGACAAAUGAAUAAAAACACAAUCAUUUGACAAGGUUGUAAAUAGGGAUGACAUUUGAUAAGAAAUUAUCAAGUUUGAGUCCAUUAUUGAAUCCUCUUAUCGAACCGAUUCCCUAUCGAUUCUCUUAUCGAAUCCAGAUAGGUUGUUGUAUAUGGAAACAAACACACAAUAUUUGGUUGAACAAAAGCUCACUUUUAUUUUAUAAGAAAAAAUAAAACAAAAUAAAUAAAUAAAUAUUGACUGUUGUUACCCCCCUAAAAAAAUAAAAUAAAAUAAAUAAAUAUUGACUGUUGUUACCCAAAGUAUAUUAAGUGGGAUUUUUCAGAAAAAACAAAUAUAUACAGUAACACAAAAACAACCUGUCUCUGUGAUCACUAUAGGUGUAUAAAUAAUAAUAUAGUGUUAAAUAAAAUCAGUCCCUUGGGCACAAAACUGAAAAUAAUACAGCUCUCCAAAAAGUGCACUUCUGCUGCUAUUGGAACAUCCUUCUGGGGUCCAUCAGUGUGGCCUCCUCCAGGAAUGACUGCACGUCCUUGUCCUGGAGGGAAAAUGAGGGACAGACACAGCAUAGAAUUAGGGGGGAAAUUAGCUGAAUGUGAAGACUAGGGUGUCUGUUAUUAAGUCUUUAGCAUUAGUAUGUGGAAUUAAAUGAUGGAAUGGAUUAAGUAAUGCAGUUAAACAUUGUACUGAUAUGAUCCACUUUAAGAGGUUGUUCAAAUUGAUAGUGCUUACAAAGUACAAAGAAGAAUUAUGAGCAAUACUUUCAACCUUAUUGAAAAUAAGAUAUUUUUCAUCUCAGUAUAUUAAUAAUGACUGAAUUAAUUAAUGACAUAUUGCAAAACUGUUGUAUAUACUAAUUCACAGAUGUUAUUUUAUUAUAAAAAGGUCAGUAAAUGAUGAAUAUAUUUGUAAACGCUCUGAAGUGGGAAAGGGGUAGGAUUAAAUAAGCUUUACUUCUUCCUACUCCUUUUCGGACAUGAUGUAAAGUGAAAUGACAUGAAACUGUGAUGUGUUAUGCUGUAAGCGUGUUCAUGUACAAAAUAAACUAAAGAAAGAAAGAAAGCACUAGUUUAUUAGACAGACCUGCAAACUCUGGAGUGAUGUAGGCUACAAGAUACCGUUAACAUUAUCAGACACAUACAAAAAGGCUAACGUUACCGUUACCGUUAGCCACUGACUAACUAACAUUACUGCAGUCCUGGUUGACAUUAGAGGUAACCUUAUUUUAGCCUAAAGGCUACGAGAGAGCAGAUAUGGAAAUUGACCGGCAACAGUUAACAUUAGUUACUCACCAGCACUAUCACUGGAAUUGGCGCUGCAGGUUGAAGCAGAGGAAGAGGGGGGUGCUUUGUCAUCUCUGUCGCUGCUUCUCCACGACACCUUUCUCGAACGUUCAAGUUAUGUACGGCCUGAACAUGUUUCAUCAUGCUUGUUGUACUUCCCCCCUUACGUGAGAGCGAAGCCUGGCAAUAAUUGCAAAUAGCCGUUUCCUCGUCGUAUUUUUUUGUAAAAUUAAGCCUUGAGGCGUUUUUUCCGGUCCAUUGUUGUUGCUGCUUCUGUAUCUGCCGCCUAAUGACUGAGCUACGUCAAUCCCUGGGACGUGCCACAGGGCAUUUCCUGCGGGACGGGAUUCGUUUCCAGAGAUUCGAAUAAAGAACCAACUCUUUUUCUUUACUAUAGUGGCCUCGAUAACAGGAACCGGUUCUCAAAAAGGGAUUCGAGUCCAUGCAAACGGUUCUUUUUUUAUCGAACAACCGGGAGAACCGGUUUCGAACAUCAUCCCUAGUUGUAAACUGUAAUCAGGUUGGAUAUAAUUUUAAAUACCAUUAAGAUCAAGAGUAAGAUGACUAAUUCAGUGUUUAUAUUUAAGGGGGUCUUGGACCCCUCUGUAGUGGAAAAUUUGGUCCCCGACUUCCAAAAGGUUAAGAACCCUUGGUUUAUAUCGUAUAUCGUGCAACCCUAGUUGCUAACAUCUACACUGGCACUGGUGCCAUUAUGGAACCAGGUUUUGGUGCCCAUCUUUAAUGCCUACUGCUCCAUCUCAUUAUUCUCUGGCAGACCAGGUGCGCUAAAAUGUGAUUAAGAGGGUAAACAGGUACAGUACCUCCAACUCUAUCAGUGGCUGUCAAAAUGUAUUUGAGUUUAUGUGAAAGACUGUCCUGAUGGGGAUAUGUAAUUUGCAGACAAACUUUUUAUUGGACAAUGAUGUAGGACCAACACUGAUAAUAAAUCUCUGUUAUCAUGAAUAUAUUAAAUUAUUUAUACAGUAAGUUAUAUAUAAAAAAGAUUACCUCCAUGACUUUAAUUCUAGGCUUUAAUACAUACAUAAACAAGGAGUUUAUGGAUCUUUGAAAACGUCCCAGCAAAUGACAGUAUUCACUUCUGUGAAUGAAAUACACGAGGGGAAGACUACUUUGUGUCUUUUCGUGCAGGUUUAAAAUAGAAACUCAGUGGCUUUGGCUAUUUUAGGGAAAAUGUUUUCCAUAAAGUCUCACACAAUAUCGAGCGUCACCAACAAGAUGCAAUAUUGCUAGAUCCUGCGGUGUCAUUAGUCCACAUAGUGUAUAUAGUCCAUGCAGGUGUGCAGCAGCACGGCACACACACUUUUAAAGGCGAGGACACACACACACACACACAGAGAAAAUCAACCAAAUGGCGCUGCUGUUGAACCCGUGCCAACCGCACGCUAACCCAGUCUUCUGCAGGCUCUCUGGGGAUCUGCUCGUACUUUUUUAUUUUUUAUUUUUUUAAAUCUACUGUACUACACUCCUUCCUUCCCUUCCUCCCCCAUGCACCUUCAUCAACAAAGACACACACACACGGACACACACGCACAGGCCGAUGCACAUGAAAAUGUCCACCAGUCAGAAUACAGAAGGCUGUGUUUAUUUGCAGCAUGCUGGCCUUGAAUGCAUGGAUAGCCAUCCUCCCUUUCCUCCUCCUCUUGUUCACUUCCGUCUCCCUUGAGGCUUUCUGGAUGCUGCUGCAGUCUUCUGGAAAACCCACUUUCUGCUUGUGUGUGUGUGUGUGUGUGUGUGUGUGUGUCUAAGGUGUCUUCCUAUGGGCAGAUGUUGGCCUUGACCAUUAAACACUCUCCGGUUACCUUCUAACUUGUAAUGCUUCCAACUCACCAACUGGCAGAUUUAUAGACACUCCCACACACACACACACACACACACACACACACACACACACACACACACACACACACACACACACACACACACACACACACACACACACACGCACAUACUGGUUAUCAUUUGGAAUGGGGACCAAGUUUUUGAUCAUCACUUGUGGGCACCACCCUUUCUACAGGUUGUGAAGGCAUAAAAAAAAUGAGGUACAAUGGCCACUGCCCAGUUAGCUCAUACACGUCUUUAAAUCUCUGGAUUGAUGAAGUAAUGUGCUGUUUUGUCUUACCGGGGACCCUGGGGAAAAAUAGUUCAUAUGGUUCAUGGGGGACCAAAUUUUAAUAAUUUUGCAUAAUUCACACAAAAUUUGUACGUGACUACUGAGGACCAUUUAUAAAAAAUUUAAAAAAAAAAUAAAAAUAAAAAUAAAGUUCAAAUUAAAUAUGACAUGAUCCUCAGAAUACAGCACUACAGCUGUCCUCUUAUAGGAAGUUUCACCACUUAAAUGUUAAAGCAAAUCUUAAAACCAAAGCUUAAAAAUCACUUAGGCAUCUUCAGAAUGGAUCUGACUAUCAUUUAAAAAGGUUUCCCUUUAGGGGACCUGUUUUUUUUUGUCCCCAUACCGUCAAAGGUCCCCUAAAGCAGUGGUCCCCAACCACCCGGUACCGGUCCGUGCAUCGAUUGGUACCGGCCUGCACAAGAAAAAAAAAUAAAUAAA